AUUUCGUCGGCUAAAGCCAUCUUGGCCGACGAAAUAUAGUAUAUUUCGUCGGCUAAAACCAUCUUAGCCGACGAAUUAUGGUGUAUUUCGUCGGCUAAUAAAGUUUUAGCCGACGAAUAACCUAAUAUUUCGCCGGCUUUAGUUAUUUUUUAAUUUUUUAAUUACAUACUAUAGCCGACGAAUACGUUAGGGUAUUCGUCAGCUAAACUCUAAAAUUUUUCUAUUACCUACUAUAGCCCUAUCUUCGGUUGUUAUUUUGCGUAAAAUUUUUAGACGACUUCUUGCGUCUCAUCGGUUUGAAACUAUUUUCAGUUGGAGGUCCGGCCAAAAUACCUAAUUUAGACGGUCGAACGAGCUUUUCCAUGCGUUUAGGGGUUUGACUUACGAGAUUGACCGUCCGGAUCGAGCCCCUAUUCUUGUCGGAUCAAGUUGCAUUUUUUCCCAUACAUGUAUUUUGUCAUGAUGGUCAGAUCUGACGGUCGGAUUUAUUUUUCUCAAGUUUGAUCAUCACAAUCACAACAUGCAUACUAAUGUUGUAUAACUUGUUUACCAAGUGUUAUGUAAAUGUUCCGUUUCAAAAACAAACUAUACGUAAAACCUUCAACCGCCAAAAAGUCAUGAAAUAAGAUAUGACGAGAAUGUUGAAAUACAUCCACGGUUGAAAAAUCACACUAUUCCGGUAAAUAUUCGGUGCCAAUAGUUGCGGUCAAUGCAAUUUUUCAUUCUUUCCCCCUAUGAGUAGCCCUAUAUUCGGUGAUUAUUUUGCGUAAAAUUUUUAUACGACUUGUUGCGUGUCAUCGAUUUAAAACUAUUUUCAGUUGGAGGUCCGGCCAAAAUACGUAAUUUAGACGAUCGAACGACCUUUUCCGUGCGUGUAGGGGUUUGACUUACGAGAUUGACCGUCCGGAUCAAGCCCUUAUUCUUGUCGGAUCAAGUUGAAUUUUUUCCCAUACAUGUAUUUUAUCAUGAUGGUCAGAUCUGACGGUCGGAUUUAUUUUUCUCAAGUUUGAUCAUCACAAUCACAAUGUGCCAAAUGUAUAAAAAUACUUUUAGCCGACGAAUUACAAAGGUUAGCCGACGAAUUUCAAAGGUUUAGCCGACGAAUUUAUAAAGUUUAGCCGACGAAUUUCAAGGUUUUAGCCGACGAAUUUAGAAGGUUUAGCCGACGAAUUGAUGUAUAGCCGACGAAAUUCGUAUUUUUAGCCGACGAAAUAAUUAUUUCGUCGGCUAAAGUUUUCGGGUUUAACUGCGAAACCCUAGCCUCCUCCCUCCCCGGNC
rnacentral:lncRNA from 1 species